UCAUCACUCCGCAGUCUGCCCCCCAGCCCACUGAUAGCAACCAUCAUAAUGCCCCACCCAGCUUCCGGCACCUUUCGCCACUCCGGCACAAACCGACACAGCUUUGCGAUCUCCCCAGCAUGCAGAGUCUGAUGUCUUCCCUAUAGAUGAUUCCAGAGACUCUGUGAGGCCACUAUUACAAGGUGAGACGCUUUGCGUUGAUUGGUGCUGCUGGACCACACUGGAGGUGCGAGUCCGCCGUGUAAUGGUUUAUGCCAUUACAAAGGAGCUGGCCUCUGUACUCAACUGGGCAGGGGAAAAAAUACCAAGGACCAGACAAAGCAAAAAAGGGCAUUUAAAGAGACAGCGCUGUGCAGAUGCAUAUUUGAUGGCCUGGCGCAGCAGGUAGGGGCGAACUCUAUGUCUGAGUUGGUCUUUGCUCAAGCAGUCCAGAAAUGGCUCAGAUAUGCUCCAGAUCGUACGGGUGGCACGCAGGACGCACAUCAUCCAUCCCCAUCCCGGAGUAAAUAAUAAAAAGUGACGUGAAACAUAGAAAUGUAAAUAGGAAACUUUGUCUUUUAAUAAAGUAUU